rnacentral:rRNA from 1 species
AGUAACGCGUGAGUAACCUGCCUUACACAAGGGGAUAGCCUUUGGAAACGAAGAAUAAUACCCUAUAAAACCAUAAAAGCACAUGCUAGAAUGGUCAAAGUGAUAGCGGUGUAAGAUGGACUUGCGUCUGAUUAGCUAGUUGGUGAGAUAAAAGCUCACCAAGGCAACGAUCAGUAGCCGGCUUGAGAGAGUAUACGGCCACAUUGGGACUGAGACACGGCCCAG